UCUCCGUAGGUGAACCUGCGGAGGGAUCAUUACAGAGUUCUCGCCCUCGCGGGUAGAUCUCCCACCCACUGUUAUCGUUACUGUGUUGCUUUGGCGGGCCGCCGGGCCUCGCUCGGCCGCCGGCUCCGGCUGGCGCGCGCCCGCCAGAGGCCCAGCAAACUCUGAAUGUUAGUGUCGUCUGAGUACUAUAUAAUAGUUAAAACUUUCAACAACGGAUCUCUUGGUUCUG
rnacentral:misc_RNA from 1 species